CACCAGAGGGUGUGUCAUAAUUUAUGAACGACUGCCUAGGGCAAAGUUCAAGGUCAAAAACUUUGGUUUCAGUUGACAACCCCAUGUCCUAUGGUAAAGAUUGUGUCCGCUCUAUAUCUUGAGAACCGUUAUCAUUUCAAAGUUUAUACUUGACAUGUAUAUAAACCAACACCAAAGGGUGUGUCAUAAUUUAUGUGCAACUUCCUAGGUCAAAGGUCAAGGUCAAAAACUUUGGUUUCAGUUGACAACCCCA
rnacentral:lncRNA from 1 species